rnacentral:rRNA from 1 species
CCUACGGGAGGCAGCAGUGAGGAAUAUUGGUCAAUGGACGCGAGCCUGAACCAGCCAAGUAGCGUGAAGGAAGACUGCCCUACGGGUUGUAAACUUCUUUUAUAAAGGAAUAAAGUGAGCCACGUGUGUCGUUUUGUAUGUACCUUAUGAAUAAGGAUCGGCUAACUCCGUGCCAGCAGCCGCGGUAAUACGGAGGAUCCGAGCGUUAUCAGGAUUUAUUGGGUUUAAAGGGAGCGUAGUUGGGUUGUUAAGUCAGUUGUGAAAGUCUGCGGCUCAACCGUGAAAUUGCAAUUGAUACUGGCAGUCUUGAGUAUAGUUGAGGUAGGCGGAAUUCGUGGUGUAGCGGUGAAAUGCUUAGAUAUCACGAAGAACUCCGAGUGCGAAGGCAGCUUACUAAACUGCCACUGACAUUGAGGCACGAAAGUGUGGGUAUCAAACAGGAUUAGAUACCCCUGUAGUC